UGUCUUUUUAGGGCCGCAGCUGCAGCAUAUGGAGGUUCCCAGGCUAGGGGUCUAAUCAGAGCUGUAGCUGCCGGCCUAUGCCAGAGCCACAGCAACAUGGGAUCCAAGCCGCGUCUGCGAACUACACCACAGCUCACGGCAACGCCAGAUCCUUAACCCACUGAGCGGGGCCAGGGAUCAAACCCACAUCCUCAUGGAUGCUAGUUGGGUUCACUAACCACGGAGCCACCACGGGAACUCCUCUGCAGCUCUUUGAUCAUUUUUACAAUUUGUCAUGGACCUUAUGGGUGAAAAUUUACAUGUGAAGCCAAAUUCUGUUCACUGAAUGUGUUUGCUGAUUUCAAAAUGUUCUUAACCAGGCUUCUCAUAAAAAUGAUCAAAAAUCUCCCCAAACCCACCAUGAUAUACUACUUAUUACACCUAUAUUCUCUCUUUCAAAUACAAAAAAAAUACAUAUACACACACACACAUAUGUAGCACCAGGUUCUUGCCUAUGUUUCUCUAAUAAUCCAACUGUAAGAAAUUAUUCACAAGAAAACGUUAUCUCUGGGGAUCAAAAAAGAAGGAAAAGGAGAAAGUCAGGGAUUUGACCGUCGUAACACAGUUCGGAUACCUUAAUUCUCAACCAGUUCUGGAAUGAAGACCAACCUGAAAUGUAACUCAGGGCAAGUUUAUACACCUCGUUCUAUUCUAAUCAGUUCAAAGGCAUCGCUCCUGACCACGUCACACAGCUUGUGCAGAAACACUCGAUUUAUAUAAUAUAUCAGAUAAUCCCAGACAUUACACAAGAGAUGACAUGGAGGGGGGCCCACUCCCCGCUCUAGUCGCAUCUUUUAAGGAGGCAGCUAUGCCUUAGUCACUGGCAUUUACAUGAUUAAAGAAAAACUAGUGUUAAGGACCUUGGAUUAGGAGCACCCCUGCUUGUGCAUCUCCACUGUACUUGCUUCCUGUGCAUAGCGUUUAGUUUAUCCAUAACAGGAUUGCACAAUGUUAUGCUAAUAGGUUUGACUCUGGUUUUGUUUAUUCUGUGAAUGUUUAUCAUAUUACCUUACAUGAAAUCAAUCAAAAGAUAGUUUUCAAAGUUGGAAUUUUUUGCCUAAAUACAAGGGAAGAAAUGUUUCACCUGGCAAAUGACUUUUCGUCAGGUCCAAGUACUGCCCUGGUUGCUGCCAGUUCAAGCGCGCGCAGUUCACACGGCACAACUCACAUGGUAUUGCCCAGCAUGUGCCAUGGGGCCUGUGGACUCACCCCAGGUGGACAUGCCCCACUUUCUAGCUAAUCUCAUUGUCUCUAAGAGCCAUCUUUUCUCCUGCAGUAAUACAGCUAUUAGUGAGCAAAACCCAGGUGAAAAACUAUAUAUUGAUUUCUACCUGCACGUAUGAAACUGUACUUUGCCCAAACCAUUGCCAGUUCCUGCUGUGGCCUCUCUGUAGCACCAGGAUGCAGCUUCGACCCCCAGCUUGGCGCAGUGGGCUAAAGGAUCCAGUGCUGCCAGAAGCUGCAGCAUAGGUCACAACUGCGGCUUGGAUCUGAUCUCUGGCCUGUGGAACUCCAUAUGCCACAGGACUCCAAACAGAGUCCUCCGUGUAUGUCCAGACCCUUCCAGUAGACAGCAUGUUACAUCUCUCCUACUGUCCCCAAUGGCCUUCCCCACAUGGCCUUCACACGAAGUGGUACCUUUCUGGUGAGGGUGAUUUUUGCUGCUUUCUGGGCAUGAAUUUUCAAAUCUGGGACUCCAAGGGAAUGGCUUAGUAGUGAGAGAAGACGAGGAACAAAUCCAUGACCAGGAGGCUAGGCUGUAAGAGAGGGACUCCUCCAAGCAGGCUGUGCAAACCACUGGGAAGGCCAGGAAAGGAGGUUCUCACUGAACACCUGAGGUUGCCCACAGUGUCAGAGUAUUUCAACAGCAGAGGCUACUGCAAUAUUCUUCUACCUUUAACGUCUGCCCUCUCCACCCAAGCGUUGCCCAUCACACCACGAACUAUACCAUCCACAUAUUAGCUUCAUUAAUCAGGAGGCAGAACCUUUCUAUCCCACCUCCACUCCCUGUCCUCCCUACAACAUCUGCCUAAAGCUUUAUUACACUGACUGCUCUCAAAGCAGGUGAUAUUAAAACAAAGAUUCGGUUCUCAGUGAAUAACCUUUCCCUGAACUAAAACACCAGGACAAAAACGACCUCAUAACGAACAGGUCAGACAGCAUACCACAGUGCUAAGUGUACAAGUAACUACGAAGCACAGCACAGUCAGAUGAAUGGUAAUCCUCGGUUCUACACGAGGAGAAGGGAAAGAGUGGGCAAGAGCUUUUGGAGGAAACAGAAUGGUCUUGAAAUAGACACCGUGAGUUCCUUCCCCAGCCACGCAUUCACAAUCACGUCCACCUUCCAUGUCCUUGCAUUGCCCAAGUUCAUUCCCCAAGGUCGAGAUCCCACAGAGCAGGCUCAGGAGCACAGAGACGGGUGUGGGCUCCAGGCCAGACAGCGGCAGAGGGGCUGUCCUUGGAACGCUCCCUGCCAUGUUUCCAAGUCCUAUUUAUAUAAUUCAAUCAAAGUGAUCUUAUCCUGAAGACCGCAGGUUUGCUUUUGUCUAAAAAUUUUGAUGGUUUUUUCCUCAAUUAUCAGCCUUCAGUUAUCAGACUUAAUCAUGCAUAGUAUCUGUUAGGGAAUUUUAAAAAGGGGGUUUGUUACAUGAUGCAAAAGCUGCACCUUCUUUUGUCCUUAUGUAUGUAGCAGCAUGGAAGUCAUCUCCAUGUCACGCCCAGGAAGAAGUGUCGGCAGCAUGCAGCUGUCCCCCACUAAAGGACAAACGACUUCGAGAAGACAGGUGUCCUCAUUCACUCAACAGAUGGUUACUAAAAUCCUGUGCCAGGCACUGCCCCAGGUGAUGUGCUCGGAUCCUAACCAACCAUCGGCUGGUGAGGGAUGGAGACAGGCUGCAGGCAGCUAUAACCACGUGUGAUGAGUGGAAGGAUGGAGAAAAUGCAAAAGGGGCAACAACCAACUCCGGCUUGGGGGGCUCAGAGAAGACUUUCUGGAAAAGCUCAAUCUGAAAUCCAAGGAGAAAGAUAAAUUGGAAUUAAGAGGUCAAGGGCGACUGGUGAGAGGGAAGCACAUUCUAGGCAAAGGGAACAGAGUUCUCCAAGCAACUCCCACCUUACAUGCUCUGGAAGCAAUUUCUUAUGCUUCCAAAGUUCUGAAUAUUAUGGUAUUUCUUUAUACAAAUGGACAAAGGGAAAAAUGGAUUGGCUUUACAUAGGGACACACAGUCAUAUCUCUUGCAGCAGAAUCCCCAGGUUGAAGAUCAAUAAAAUUGAGAACGGGAGCCUCAAUGUAACAUAAACAAGACGACUCUUUUCCUGUGUUACAAUAGUUCAAACAUACAUUCAGAUCCAGGACAUGCACCACAGACCUUGGCAGCAGGAGGGUAAACAAGAGUUUAGUAUUUAACCAAACACAACAUGUGUUUUUAAUAAAUUCAGUAUAAUUCAUUUAUUUACAUGG
rnacentral:lncRNA from 1 species